GACGUAGGGCGCGAGCGUUGUCCGGAUUAUUGGGCGUAAAGAGCUCGUAGGCGGCUUGUCACGUCGGUUGUGAAAGCCCGGGGCUUAACCCCGGGUCUGCAGUCGAUACGGGCUGGCUGGAGUUCGGUAGGGGAGACUGGAAUUCCUGGUGUAGCGGUGAAAUGCGCAGAUAUCAGGAGGAACACCGGUGGCGAAGGCGGGUCUCUGGGCCGAUACUGACGCUGAGGUGACGAAAGCGUGGGGAGCAAACAGG
rnacentral:rRNA from 1 species